rnacentral:rRNA from 1 species
UGGAAACUNUCUGACUUGAGUGCAGAAGGGGAGAGUGGAAUUCCAUGUGUAGCGGUGAAAUGCGUAGAUAUAUGGAGGAACACCAGUGGCGAAAGCGGCUCUCUGGUCUGUCACUGACGCUGAGGCUCGAAAGCGUGGGUAGCGAACAGGAUUAGAUACCCUGGUAGUCCACGCCGUAAACGAUGAGUGCUAGGUGUUAGGCCCUUUCCGGGGCUUAGUGCCGGAGCUAACGCAAUAAGCACUCCGCCUGGGGAGUACGACCGCAAGGUUGAAACUCAAAGGAAUUGACGGGGGCCCGCACAAGCGGUGGAGCAUGUGGUUUAAUUCGAAGCAACGCGAAGAACCUUACCAGGUCUUGACAUCCCGAUGCUAUUCUUAGAGAUAGGAAGUUACUUCGGUACAUCGGAGACAGGUGGUGCAUGGUUGUCGUCAGCUCGUGUCGUGAGAUGUUGGGUUAAGUCCCGCAACGAGCGCAACCCUUAUUGUUAGUUGCCAUCAUUAAGUUGGGCACUCUAGCGAGACUGCCGGUAAUAAACCGGAGGAAGGUGGGGAUGACGUCAAAUCAUCAUGCCCCUUAUGACCUGGGCUACACACGUGCUACAAUGGUCGGUACAACGAGUUGCGAGCCGGUGACGGCAAGCUAAUCUCUGAAAGCCGAUCUCAGUUCGGGUUGGAGGCUGCAACUCGCCUCCAUGAAGUCGGAAUCGCUAGUAAUCGCGGAUCAGCACGCCGCGGUGAAUACGUUCCCGGGCCUUGUACACACCGCCCGUCACACCACGAGAGUUUGUAACACCCGAAGUCGGUGAGGUAACCUUUUAGGGGCCAG